UUUUCCUGGGAUAUCCUUUUGGCAAAAAGGGUUAUAGAUUGUAUGAUCUUGCUUCAAAAAAAAUAUUUGGUCUCCAGGGAUGUCAUGUUUCAUGAAUCAUGUUUUCCUUUUAAAACUGUGUCUUCUUCUGCUCAUCCUUCUACUUCAUCUUUUCCCUUUGUUCCUUCUGGAGAACAUGAUGAUGAUUCUGAUUCUCCCAUACUUC
rnacentral:lncRNA from 1 species